GGCACAGACAGUAGCAUCCAGGUCAGGGGGUAGGUAGGGUCAGGGGUUAGGCAGGGUCAGGGGUUAGGUAGGGUCAGGGGUUAGGUAGGGUCAGGGGGUAGGUAGGGUCAGGGGGUAGGGGGUAGGUAGGGUCAGGGGUUAGGCAGGGUCAGGGGGUAGGCAGGGUCAGGGGGUAGGUAGGGUCAGGGGUUAGGCAGGGUCAGGGGUUAGGUAGGGUCAGGGGUUAGGCAGGGUCAGGGGUUAGGCAGGGUCAGGGGUUAGGCAGGGUCAGGGGUUAGGCAGGGUCAGGGGGUAGGCAGGGUCAGGGGUUAGGCAGGGUCAGGGGUUAGGCAGGGUCAGGGGAUAGGCAGGGUC